UACGGAGGAUGCGAGCGUUAUCCGGAUUUAUUGGGUUUAAAGGGUGCGUAGGCGGAGUGCCAAGUCAGCGGUAAAAAUUCGGGGCUCAACCCCGUCGUGCCGUUGAAACUGGCGCCCUUGAGUGGGCGAGAAGUAUGCGGAAUGCGUGGUGUAGCGGUGAAAUGCAUAGAUAUCACGCAGAACCCCGAUUGCGAAGGCAGCAUACCGGCGCCCGACUGACGCUGAAGCACGAAAGCGUGGGUAUCGAACAGG
rnacentral:rRNA from 1 species